GGGCCCAUAGCUCAGCUGGAACAGCCACCGGCUCAUACCCGGUAGGUCCCUGGGUCGAACCCAGGUGGGCCCACCA
rnacentral:tRNA from 1 species